GACGAAGGGGGCUAGCGUUGUUCGGAAUUACUGGGCGUAAAGGGCUCGUAGGCGGCCAACUAAGUCCGACGUGAAAUCCCCAGGCUUAACCUGGGAACUGCGUCGGAUACUGGAUGGCUUGAAUUCGGGAGAGGGAUGCAGAAUUCCAGGUGUAGCGGUGAAAUGCGUAGAUAUCUGGAGGAAUACCGGUGGCGAAGGCGGCAUCCUGGACCGACAUUGACGCUGAUGAGCGAAAGCUAGGGGAGCAAACGGG
rnacentral:rRNA from 1 species